rnacentral:rRNA from 1 species
GACGAACGCUGGCGGCGCGCUUAACACAUGCAAGUCGAACGGAAAGGCCUGCUUUCCCUUGUGGAUUGCGGGUACUCGAGUGGCGAACGGGUGAGUAACACGUGAGUGAUCUGCCCCCAACUUGGGUAUAAGCCUGGGAAACUGGGUCUAAUUCCCGAUAGGACUGCAGGGUGGUGCCUGUGUUGGAAAACGAUUUUCUAGUGGUUGGGGAUGAGCUCGCGGCCUAUCAGCUUGUUGGUGGGGUAAUGGCCUACCAAGGCGGCGACGGGUAGCCGGCCUGAGAGGGUGGACGGCGACAUUGGGACUGAGAUACGGCCCAGACUCCUACGGGAGGCAGCAGUGGGGAAUGUUGCACAAUGGGCGGAAGCCUGAUGCAGCGACGCCGCGUGGGGGAUGACGGCCUUCGGGUUGUAAACUCCUUUCGACCGCGAGGAAGCCACCUGGUUGGAAGGGUGGUGACGGUAGUGGUAGAAGAAGCACCGGCUAACUACGUG